rnacentral:tRNA from 1 species
UGGCUCAGUGGUAGAGCGCUUGCCUAGCAUACAUGAGGCACUGGGUUCAAUCCCCAG